rnacentral:other from 1 species
CUCUAAGUGCAGCUUCCAUUAAAACAAGGAUUGAAAC